UACGUAGGGGUCUAGCGUUGUCCGGAUUCAUUGGGCGUAAAGCGCGCGUAGGCGGCUCGGAAAGUCGGUCGUGAAAUGCCGGGGCUCAACCCCGGGACUGCGCCCGAUACUUCCGGGCUGGAGGUAGGUAGGGGAGAUCGGAAUUCCUGGUGUAGCGGUGAAAUGCGCAGAUAUCAGGAGGAACACCGGUGGCGAAGGCGGAUCUCUGGGCCUUACCUGACGCUGAGGCGCGAAAGCUAGGGGAGCGAACAGG
rnacentral:rRNA from 1 species